UAAUUCCGUGCCAGCAGCCGCGGUAAUACGGAAGGUGCAAGCGUUAUCCGGUUUUAUUGGGUUUAAAGGGUGCGUAGGUGGCUUAUUAAGUCAGUUGUGAAAUCCUAGCGCUCAACGUUAGAAUGGCGAUUGAUACUGGUAGGCUUGAGUCAAGAAGAGGUAAGUAGAAUUUAUGGUGUAGUAGUGAAAUGCAUAGAUAUCAUAAGGAAUACCGAUAGCGUAGGCAGCUUACUGGUCUUGAACUGACGCUGAGGCACGAAAGCGUGGGGAGCAAACAGGAUUAGAUACCCUGGUAGUCCACGCCGUAAACGAUGAUCACUCGAUAUACACGCUUGGCGUGUGUGUCUAAGCGAAAGCGUUAAGUGAUCCACCUGGGGAGUAUACCCGCAAGGGUGAAACUCAAAGGAAUUGACGGGGGUCCGCACAAGCGGUGGAGUAUGUUGUUUAAUUCGAUAAUACGCGAGGAACCUUACCUGGGCUAGAAUGUGUUUUGCUACCCUAAGAAAUUAGGGGUUCUUUCGGGACGGAACACAAGGUGCUGCAUGGCUGUCGUCAGCUCGUGCCGUGAGGUGUUGGGUUAAGUCCUAUAACGAGCGCAACCCUCUUACCUAAUUGCCAGCACGUAAAGGUGGGGACUUUAGGUAGACAGUCCGCGCAAGCGGAAGGAAGGAGAGGAUGAGGUCAAGUCAUCAUGGCCUUUAUGCCCAGGGCUACAAACGUACUACAAUGGCGUGUACAGAGGGAAGCUACUUGGCAACAAGAUGCAAAUCUCGAAAGCACGUCUCAGUUCGGAUUGGGGUCUGCAAUUCGACCCCAUGAAGUUGGAAUCGCUAGUAAUCGCGUAUCAGCAAUGACGCGGUGAAUACGUUCUCGGACCUUGUACACACCGCCCAUCAAGCCAUGGGA
rnacentral:rRNA from 1 species